AGUGAGCGCUGGCGGUAGGCCUAACACAUGCAAGUCGAACGGCAGCACAGUAAGAGCUUGCUCUUACGGGUGGCGAGUGGCGGACGGGUGAGGAAUACAUCGGGAUCUACUUUUUCGUGGGGGAUAACGUAGGGAAACUUACGCUAAUACCGCAUACGACCUACGGGUGAAAGCAGGGGAUCUUCGGACCUUGCGCGAUUGAAUGAGCCGAUGUCGGAUUAGCUAGUUGGCGGGGUAAAGGCCCACCAAGGCGACGAUCCGUAGCUGGUCUGAGAGGAUGAUCAGCCACACUGGAACUGAGACACGGUCCAGACUCCUACGGGAGGCAGCAGUGGGGAAUAUUGGACAAUGGGCGCAAGCCUGAUCCAGCCAUACCGCGUGGGUGAAGAAGGCCUUCGGGUUGUAAAGCCCUUUUGUUGGGAAAGAAAAGCAGCAGGUUAAUACCCCGCUGUUCUGACGGUACCCAAAGAAUAAGCACCGGCUAACUUCGUG
rnacentral:rRNA from 1 species